UACGAAGGGGGCUAGCGUUGUUCGGAAUUACUGGGCGUAAAGCGCACGUAGGCGGACUCUUAAGUCAGGGGUGUAAUCCCGGGGCUCAACCUCGGAACUGCCUUUGAUACUGUGAGUCUCGAGACCGGAAGAGGUGAGUGGAAUUCCUAGUGUAGAGGUGAAAUUCGUAGAUAUUAGGAAGAACACCAGUGGCGAAGACGGCUCACUGGUCCGGUUCUGACGCUGAGGUGCGAAAGCGUGGGUAGCAAACAGG
rnacentral:rRNA from 1 species